AUGAACGCUGGCGGCGUGCCUAAUACAUGCAAGUCGAGCGAACAGACGAGGAGCUUGCUCCUCUGACGUUAGCGGCGGACGGGUGAGUAACACGUGGAUAACCUACCUAUAAGACUGGGAUAACUUCGGGAAACCGGAACUAAUACCGGAUAAUAUAUUGAACCGCAUGGUUCAAUAGUGAAAGACGGUUUUGCUGUCACUUAUAGAUGGAUCCGCGCCGCAUUAGCUAGUUGGUAAGGUAACGGCUUACCAAGGCAACGAUGCGUAGCCGACCUGAGAGGGUGAUCGGCCACACUGGAACUGAGACACGGUCCAGACUCCUACGGGAGGCAGCAGUAGGGAAUCUUCCGCAAUGGGCGAAAGCCUGACGGAGCAACGCCGCGUGAGUGAUGAAGGUCUUCGGAUCGUAAAACUCUGUUAUUAGGGAAGAACAAAUGUGUAAGUAACUAUGCACGUCUUGACGGUACCUAAUCAGAAAGCCACGGCUAACUACGUG
rnacentral:rRNA from 1 species